GCCUUGAAAUUAUAGAAAUUAUUAAUCCAAUUCCAUCCUCCCAAACAUAAUUUUUGUCCAGGAGUUAAAGUAUUAUCAAUUAAAACAACACAACCAAACCAAUCACAAAUAAAAUACGGGUAAAAUGUGUAUCUUUGAUGAUAGCCAACCGUAAUUGAAGAUUGUUGUAUGUAUUCCUUCCCCCUCUUUUUCCAUUCCCCUCUUUUGUUUUGUACCUAAUGCCUCCAUCUUUUCCUUUCCUUUCCUUCCAACUAAUCAGGUGCAAACGCACACUUAAAUGAAAAUAACUGUUGCUGUGUGUGCUUCGCCAAUUCUUUCGCGGGAAGAUGACGUUCACAACUAAUUAUCACACAUAGAUGUCUUUGCAUAUUUGGUAAUCUAUCAUCUUGCAUUUGUAUGAAUGAAACCUGAACGUGUAUUUUUGAGGUUGGACAUAAUUAAGUGGAAAUGCUGCUACUGAAUAGAGAUGCUGCAUUGAUGAGGUUGUUAAGCAGUGGAAGUUCCCUCGUAACAAAGGAAAACUCCAACAGCUUGGAGAAAGGGCCACAGGUUGAAGCAAAGUUGGAGGGAAAAAUGGACUCCAGAGAGACAUCGUUCAAAGAAAGAGAUAGUCCUACAUUCUGAUUAUACUGCCUCUAGAUCGUACUUCCAUCGACAAUCCCCAAAUUAUGUAUCUGGGUCUAGUUCUGGUGUAAAAUCAACAUAAGUAAAUUCUAGAAUACAUUGCCCGCUCUUGUUCAAGGUUUCAACGUCACAUUAUUCCAGGUAUGGAAGUUUUGAGUCCAGGUCAAGGUUCACUCCAGCUCUUCUACAUCUCUGUCUUUGUAUGUAUCAACAGGUUGGCCUUUUCGAUCCUUUAAGGCACAGAUGAAUCAGAAGGCUGGCAUUAGUCCUAAGUCUGUGGUGGUUUUGGUUGAACAAGCACUACCGCUAGAAGUAGAUGCAGGAUUGAAUAUUUUAAACUUGAAAUUAUGAUGGUUACAGCAGAAAAAUGAAAAUGAUGUGGCUCUCUUGAAAGCAGACUAUGACUUGGAGGAUCAUCCUAAGCUGCGGGGUGCUGAUAAGAACCAUGCCAUGUCCAGGGUUUCAUGAAGUAAAAAUUUUUGUGCUCUGCUUUUAGAGAAAGGUGAUGCCAUUGUGACAAAACUUAUGUUGACACCAACAAGAAAGCCAGAUACAGAGGCCUCUGUAUGAUCCUGCACUGACAGUUCACCAAGCAAUUCUCAGGGGGAGUUGUAACAUGGCUCCGAAGCAAUAAAGCAUGGAGUACCCAUAAGUAAAUGAGAAGUAUCUUUAUGUGGUGGCUUACUUUAAUUCCGCUCACUUGUUGGCUGGGUAGAUCAUUUACUAUGGGAGAGUGAGAUAGGGCCAAGUUUCAAUUGAGAACUAUUUCUGGUGGAUUGCUCAGAAUAGUAUUUAUUUUUGUCGGUUUGUACAUUAGAAGUAGUACUGGAUGGGAAGAAUUGGGUGAAGACAACUCUUGAGCAGUUUGUCAGUUGUUCAGACAACUUAUCUCUUUCUUUUGUAGAGAUUCAUUUUGGACCCAUAUGCUCAUGCUUCUAGUGCAGUUCAUGUUUCAAAUGCAACUUUUCUAGAGAAUUUAUCGUGACGGCUUUUGAACAGACAUCGUCUUAAUGGGGAUUUGUUUUCUGGUUAGGCAUUUGCAUUGGGAUCUUCGUUCGUGGCUCUAACAUUAAACAGCUUAGGACAUAGUUUACAAUGGCUUCGUGUUAUUAGAGUUUUUUAUUGGAAUGGUGGCGUUGAAAGCUUUAGCAUAAACAGGUAAACAAGCUCACCGACAUGAGGCCCACACAAACGCAUGAUUAUGAAAAACUGGCUGGUGGUACCAAAUUACUCUGGUAUGGGCGUAUAUAGAUUACAUGCAUAUUAAAUAACCACAAUUUUUUUGAAUGGAUGAUAAAUGAGAAUUUGGUAGAGAAGGAUGAUGGAUAUGACGGGUGAUUAAUGCUCUGCAAUUUAUCUUUAAUCUUAUAUUUUCUACGAAGAGAAAAUUAAAUGACUUAUCUUUGACAUUUUAGUUAAGUUUGGUGCUCACCUUGAAAUAUGUUUAAUCUUUUUAUUCUAGAUAAAAUGCUGGCGACAAAAUUAUUUUGGUGGUUUUGUUAAGUUUCAAUGUUCUGGUUACCUACUUGUACUUUUGAACUUUACUCUGACGAAUCUCAUUUAAUAGUUUUUCCUCUGUGCCAAUUUGUAAUUUUCAUUUUGUUCCCAUACUGUGGCCCCUCCAUAUCCAGAUAUUGCUUGUAUCUUUGGUCUUAGAUUAUUUAUUUAUAAUUUUUGUAAUGCGAGUUUGUUCCUAAGUCGCACUAAGCGGAGCGAGGGUGAGAAAGCAACAAAAAAUAAAAUCUUGUCAGACCGGGAGCGCUUCAAUUAUAUCUAUUUAUAAACAUUUAUAUGUAUAAAACAGUUUUAAUAUUUGUAACAUGCUUUAGGCAAUUACUUGGUAAAAUAGUAAAAAAUCUCAUAGGCACGAGGAAAUAUGUUUAAGCUUAAUCUCACAAGCCUGAGGAAAUGUGUUAAGAUAUGAGUAAUCAUUAUUUCUUUAAUAUUAGGAGAUACAUAUUAGUAGUAAUAAGCUAAAUGAUAAAAUUGAGAAUUUAAGUACUUAAAAUUUUAAGUGCUGGAAUUUUUAAACAGUAAACAAAAUUUGAGAAUUUUUAAUAACUUUUUGAAUUUGAAGUGUUUGUGAAGUCACUAUUACUUAAAUUGAAUUCAAGGAUUGGCAAAGUUAAAUUUACGAACUGGGGAAGGAUUUGCUCAAUUUGCACAGAGAUCCUGAGAGCAACAACCCAGUCAAGAGGAUUUUGUGAAUUCGGUUUGCUCCGACAAUUAGACAUCUGAACCCUCUGCUCCUCAGUCCAAUGAUCUCUCUGUAUAUGUGUGUGUAUAUAUGUAUAUAAUAAACACACACACAUACAAAGUACAAACACAAACACAAACACAAACACAAAGAUCCAUAGUAUAUCUAUGCAAUAGUUUCAAAAGUACACAUUUUAAAAUCAUCUCUCUCUAUGUGUGUAUAUUUAUGUAUAUAAACACGCACAUACAAAGUACAAACACAAACACAUAGAUGCAUGGUAUAUCUAUGCAAUAGUUUCAGAAGUACACAUUUUCCGGUUGUAUACUGGGAUAAGGUCUUCUUUAUUCUCCCUGUGCAUUUCAAUGAGAAAAAAUUAAAAGAUUUGAAAAACUCAACUAUACUAAUGAAUGUGUGGAGAGAAGAGAGAGAGAGUUGCAUGCGUAUGAGUUAAGGGAGUUGGAGGAGUGGAAAAAGAAGUAAAACUAAUUGAAGAGAAGAAGAUGGAGUAAUGUGAGAGAUGAGGAGGAUGCCCAAACAGAGAAUGGAAGCAGAACAUGGCAUUUAGUGGAAGGAGUAAAAUUGAAGGCGAAAAGAUAAAAAUAAAAAUAAAAAUAAAAAUAAAUAGAUACUAAUAAAUAUGAAAUAUAGUAAAGGUAUAUCAGAGAAGAUGACCCAAGACAAAGAGAUUGGCCAAGUAUGUGAAUUAAAUUUGGUAUUUAUCAUCUGACGUAAUACCCCUCAUUAUUCUCAACCGUCUCAAUUACUCUUGCAUUUAUUUGUUUUUAAUGGUCUUUCAAUCUAAUAUAGUCCCCCCUUUUUUCAAUGCUCGAACUACCCAACCCACUCUUUCCUACCUGCAUUUACUUAAUUACCCUUCUCUUGUUCCCACCUUAUUCCCUUAGGUCAUAAACAUAAUAGUUUUAAAUCACAAACAUGACAUACUCCAUAUGUACCACUGCAUGGUAUAUUUUUGUCCUAGCACUUGAGUAGGGAUUUUACCUUUUGUUUUAUUACUAAUCUAAUGAUUAAAAUUAUUAUUGGUGAUAUUUAACAUGUGCAUUGCUUUGGUUGUUCACUUUCUUGUGAGCCUUGUCGAAUUAGAGUGCUUCCUAGCCUACUGAUUUUAGUAUCCCAUUUCAGUGAUAGUGGACAUAGAUGAACAUGAACCGUGUGAUUUAGGCCAACGUGUUGGAGGGUCUAGUAGACAUUUUGCCAUGUAACUUCAACAAGUUGUGGCCCAAUUAUAUAACUCAGUGGGUCCAUCCUUGGCAACAUUACCAUUUUACCGAACUACUUUCAACAAGGUAACAUAUGACUAUAUAAUCUAACCAACUGUAUAAACAUUUGACAUAACUGUCAAUAAAGCCCUUAACUAAAAUCUAACCAACUGUAUAAACGUUUGACAUACUUUACCUACUUUUCUCCUCUCUCUCUCUCUCUCUCUCUCUCUCACUCUCUCUCUCUCUCACACACACACACACAGAUGAACUAACCAUUUGCCUAACAACCUGAUCUAGAAUGCCAUAAUCGGACAUAACACCAACAUAAGCAGAAGGCAAUUAAAAUGAAGACACAAAUUAUGGAACAUUAUAUUAGGAAAAUUUGGGCAGUUGCAAACAGUCCAUAUAAUUAUCUUUCUGCUAAAGAAGGAAGAUAAUUGAACCACCAAAACUAUCACUAUGCCCAUAUUGCCCAAUAUCCUAUGGUUUAAAAAGAUUAAAAAAGAAAAAGAAAAAAAAAAA